CCUACGGGAGGCAGCAGUAGGGAAUAUUGGUCAAUGGGGGCAACCCUGAACCAGCCAUGCCGCGUGCAGGAAUAAGGCCCUAUGGGUCGUAAACUGCUUUUGAACGGGAAGAAACCUAUUUACGUGUAGAUAGUUGACGGUACCGUUAGAAUAAGGAUCGGCUAACUUCGUGCCAGCAGCCGCGGUAAUACGAAGGAUCCAAGCGUUGUCCGGAUUUACUGGGUUUAAAGGGUGCGUAGGCGGACUCAUAAGUCAGUGGUGAAAGCCUUCAGCUUAACUGAAGAACUGCCAUUGAAACUGUGGGUCUCGAGUUCGGUUGAGGUCAUUGGAAUGUAACAUGUAGCGGUGAAAUGCAUAGAUAUGUUACAGAACACCGAUUGCGAAGGCAGAUGACUAAACCGAAACUGACGCUGAGGCACGAAAGCGUGGGGAUCAAACAGGAUUAGAUACCCUGGUAGUCCACGCCCUAAACCGAUGAAUACUCGACCUUAGCGAUAUACAGUUAGGGUCCAAGCGAAAGCGUUAAGUAUUCCUACCUCGGAAGGUACGUUCGUCGAAGAAUAGAAACGUACGAAGUAGAAGUUAGUACGGCGUGAGACGUCGCCGAACGGACGACCGACCGAGGGGAGGUAGGG
rnacentral:rRNA from 1 species